UACAGAGGGUGCAAGCGUUAAUCGGAAUUACUGGGCGUAAAGCGCACGUAGGCGGUUUUUUAAGUCAGAUGUGAAAGCCCCGGGCUCAACCUGGGAAUUGCAUUUGAAACUGGGAAACUAGAGUGUGUGAGAGGGGGGUAGAAUUCCAAGUGUAGCGGUGAAAUGCGUAGAGAUUUGGAGGAAUACCAGUGGCGAAGGCGGCCCCCUGGCACAACACUGACGCUCAGGUGCGAAAGCGUGGGGAGCAAACAGG
rnacentral:rRNA from 1 species